UCGUCAGCUCGUGUCGUGAGAUGUUGGGUUAAGUCCCGCAACGAGCGCAACCUCGUUCUAUGUGCCAGCACGUAAUGGUGGGAACUCAUGGGAUACUGCCGGGGUCAACUCGGAGGAAGGUGGGGAUGACGUCAAAUCAUCAUGCCCCUUAUGUCUUGGGCUUCACGCAUGCUACAAUGGCCGGUACAAAGGGCUGCAAUACCGUAAGGUGGAGCGAAUCCCAAAAAGCCGGUCCCAGUUCGGAUUGAGGUCUGCAACUCGACCUCAUGAAGUCGGAGUCGCUAGUAAUCGCAGAUCAGCAACGCUGCGGUGAAUACGUUCCCGGGUCUU
rnacentral:rRNA from 1 species